CACCGCGAGGUAGUAAAUGUCAAGGCAAGGCGUUCUAAGCCUCAAGCCAGGAAGCCUGACAACUUCCCUAUCUCU
rnacentral:tRNA from 1 species